AGCUCCAAUAGCGUAUAUUAAUGUUGUUGCAGUUAAAAAGCUCGUAGUUGGAUUUCUGCGUCGCGUAGCUCGGUCCGUGGCUUUGCCAUGUGACGUGUGGCUAGAGCGUCGCAUCCUUGUGGAGACUGUUUCUGUCAUUAAUUUGGUGGAUUCCGGAACCGCAUCGUUUACUGUGAAAAAAUUAGAGUGUUCAAAGCAGG
rnacentral:rRNA from 1 species